GUCCUAGGUGAGUUUUUCUAGGAGUGAAAAUGCAGAAAAGGAUGUUGAAAGCUAUUGGCUAAUGUAUCAUUUGAACUGCUAAUAACCUGAGAGGGGGCUUAGGCAUGAUUUAAAAUGUUCAUACCUUCACUAACUAUGGUUCUUUUCUCACAUGCAAUUUCUUGAUUGGAUGGCACUGACCUGUUUCUUUUCUUGGUAGCGUUAUACGCAGAGCAAUGGGCGCAGGCCGUUUGGCAUCUCUGCCCUCAUCGUGGGUUUCGACUUUGAUGGCACUCCUAGGCUCUAUCAGACUGACCCCUCAGGCACAUACCAUGCCUGGAAGGCCAAUGCCAUAGGCCGGGGUGCCAAGUCAGUGCGCGAGUUCCUGGAGAAGAACUAUACUGAUGAAGCCAUUGAAACAGAUGAUCUCACCAUUAAGCUGGUGAUCAAGGCACUCCUGGAAGUGGUUCAGUCAGGUGGCAAAAACAUUGAACUUGCUGUUAUGAGGCGAGAUCAACCCCUCAAGAUUUUAAAUCCUGAAGAAAUUGAGAAGUAUGUUGCUGAAAUUG
rnacentral:sRNA from 1 species